rnacentral:lncRNA from 1 species
AUCUCUGUAGCCCCAGUGCCUCAUAUAGGACUGGCACAUUUGGGAGGCACAGAUUGAGUGGUACAAGGGACAGAAAGAGAGAUUAGGACAGCAUAUUUUAAAACCAGGAUCUUCAAGCUCUCCGGAAUACUGAAGAUGUAGAAGAAAGUCAUGUGACUAAGCAAUUGUGGGAAUUGAGAGAACUCAGUUCAAACACUGUCUCUUUCCUGCUAUACUUUAGCUGUGUGGCCUGGCUAAAUCACUCAUCUCUAUGCCUCAGUUUCCUCUUCUUUAUGACCCCCUCACAGGAUUGGCUGCCAUCAUCUAGCAAGUGAGCCAUCAGAGGAAGCAUUCCAGAAGUGAAAAGCAUUGUUGUUAAUAUUAUUAUUACUUUUGUGCCUAGAGAGCAUCAGCAUCACUUGGAGGGCUUGUUAAACACAGAUAUCACUGGGCCCCAGCCCAGAAUUUCUGACUCAGUAGGUUUGGGUUACUAGGGUCCAAGAAUUUGCAUCUCGAACAAGAUCCAACAGAAGGCAGUGAAGAGGAGCAAUGAAGUAAAGGAAGAAAGACAACAAAAGCUUGAAAAUUCUAGCUCAGAGCUUCCUCGCCUGUAUGUCAUGGCUGGAGAUGUGGGUGCCCAGAAAUUGAUCCCUCAUGCCUUAGCAGGAUCCUGAAGACAGCUGCCCAGGUUGUGCACACAGAAUAAGGGCAUCAUUCUGCUUCAAGGGAAAAAUGGGGCUGAAAUCCCCAGACCAGAUGCCUUUUCCUAAUAUACCUAUGGUCUAGUUCUUAAGGGGGUUUGGCCCGGUGGGGAAAACUGGGAUAUCUUAUCUAUCGCCGCUGGCCUUGAUCAAACUGUUUACCCCAGGCUACCACACCCGCAUGUUCAUUCUCUACAUAUGCUACGGCUUGAAAACAUUUGGGAAGCUUUACUCUAAAGUUUCACUGUCCACGUGAAAGACAAACAUGUUAUCAUAUCCCCUAUAUGUGGCAUCUUUAAAAAAAAAAAAAAAGGAUACAAAUGAACUUAUUUGCAGAACAGAAACAGACUCACAGACUUUGAAAAACUUAUGAUUACCCAAGGAGUCAGGUAGGGGGCCUGGGAAGGAUGGACUGGGGCUUUGGGAUUGGCAUAUGCACACUGAGGUAUGUGGAAAAAUUGGCCAACGAGGACCUGCCGUAUAGCGCAGUAAACUCUACCCAGUAUUCUGUGGCAAUCCAUGGGGGAAAAGAAUCUGAGAGAGAAUGGAUGUGUGUAUACGUGGGACAGGGUCCCUUUUUUGUACAGCAAAAAUCAUCACAGCCUUGCAACGUAACUGUACUUCAAUAAAACUUAAAAAAUAAAAAGGAAAGCUGCACUGUCCAAUUAGUUUGCCACUAGAAACAUGUGUCUAGUACAAAAUGAGAUGUGCCAUAAAUAUAAAAUGUGUACCAGAUUGCAAAAAUUUAGAACAAAAAUAAGAAACUCAUUAAUAAUUUGUUUUAUAUUGACUACAUGCUGAAAUGUUAAUAUUUUGAAUAUAUUACAUAUGCUACCAAAAUUAUUUGCAUUUCUUUCUUUUUGCUGUUUAAAAAAAUAAUUAUAGCUCUCUUUUAUGUUUUGUUUUAUUUUAUUUUAUUUUAUUUUAUUUUAUUUUAUUUUCACCAGAGCAUGUAGCAGCUUUGACAUGGUUUCUCAGUUCCCAGACCAGAGAUUGAACCUAGGCUAUAGCAACAACAGCACUAAAUCCUGACCACUAGACCACCAGGGAACGCCCUCUUUUUACUUUUUAAUGUGACUAUUAGAAAAUUUAAAAUUGCACAUGAGGCUCCCAUUAUAUGUGUGGACAGUGCUGUCCUAGAAAGAAAGUUAACAUUUUGCAGAAAUUGUAGGUGGUUUCAUCUGUCUGCAAGAGUGGAGUGUGUGUGUGUGUGUGUGUGUGUGUGUGUAGUCAGGCCACUGAAGGGAGGCUGAGCAGUCCCAGCGGUAGGCUAAGUACUUCAACUUGACCCUGUAGGAGACAGCAAUUCAGAAGCUGUGAGAGGCAGAAUGACCUGAUUAGACUGUUUAGAAUGACACCUGGAAGCAGAGUAGAGGAGGGACUGACCGAGAGGUCUCACAAAAAACAAAAGCUCUGAGAAGCAGUGCAGUGGAACUGAAAGAGGAGCCAGCCAGAGGUCAGUCACAUGGCCCAAGUUCACACAGCUCAAGUUCACAUCAGAUAUGUUCAGGCUCAGGCCAUCCUAGUGAUUAAGAGAAUGGGCUUGGGAGUUCCUGCUGUGGCUCAGCCAUUACAAACCCAACUAGUAUCCAUGAGGAUGCGGGUUCGAUCCCUAACCUCACUCAGUGGGUUAAGGAUCCAGCGUUGCCAUGAGCUGUGGUGUAGGUCACAGAUGCAGCUGGGAUCCAGCAUUGCUGUGGCUGUGGCUGCUGCAGCUCCAAUUCGACCCCUAGCCUGGGAACCUCCAUAUGCCGCGGGUGUGACCCUGAAAAGCAAAAAAGGGAGAGAGAGGAAAUGGGCUUUGGCACCAGACUGCUCCAUUUGAAUCCUAGCCCUUCCAUUUAAGGUCACCUGUUUUCAUUAACUUUGCCGCAUCUCAGUUUAUUCAUCUGGGGAUGAAUGGGGAUCUGUUAUCAUCACGUUGUUAUGAGCCAUAAAUGUGUUCAGAGAAAGGAAGCGCUUAAAACAUGUCUAUUUGGCCUUGCUUGGUCACAUGCUCCUUUCUUAUUUUGCCAGGGGGAUGUGAUUUUGUGAUUGGACGAGGCUGGGUCUCGUGCCCAGCCCAGGUGGACAGACAGCUGGGUCUGUUACCCCAGGAAGGGGGCGAGGCGGGGGAAUGUGCCAGCACAUACAAACAGCAGCUGCCCUGUCUUCUCCACCCUCCUGGCUCCAUGACCUUGGACAAGUGACUCAAUGGAUAAGGAGCCCAACUUCCACUUCAGUAACACCUUCCU